rnacentral:rRNA from 1 species
UACGUAGGGGGCGAGCGUUGUCCGGAUUUAUUGGGCGUAAAGAGCGUGUAGGCGGCCAGGUAGGUCUGCUGUGAAAACUCGAGGCUCAACCUCGAGACGUCGGCGGAAACCCUCUGGCUAGAGUCCGGAAGAGGAGAGUGGAAUUCCUGGUGUAGCGGUGAAAUGCGCAGAUAUCAGGAAGAACACCCGUGGCGAAGGCGGCUCUCUGGGACGGUACUGACGCUGAGACGCGAAAGCGUGGGGGAGCAAACAGG